rnacentral:lncRNA from 1 species
AUAUAUUCAUAAUUUUUACAUAUCCAUAUUAACAUCUGGUAUGUUUUUUCUUCUGGUGGAAGAAGUGAUUAUAUAAUUUCUUGUUUUAUAGUUCUGUGGUGAUGAAUUCUUUCAACUGUUGCAUGUUUGAAAAAUUUUUAAUAUCACCAUUAUUUUAGAGCUAUUUUGAUGAUUAUUGAAUUGCAGGCUGAUAGAUGUGAUUUUCUUUUAAUGAUUUAAAUAUUUUGUUAUUUUGUUUUCUAAUGAGAACUUGGCUGGGUUUUUUUUCAUUUUGUUUUUUAAUUUUGAUGUACUCUGUUUUUAAGAUUUUCAGUUCUAAUCAAUUUAAUUAGAUUGUGUCCUAUAACUUAGUUUUUCAUCAUGUUAUUCAUGCCUGCGAUUUUUAACUGCUGGAUUUAUAGAUUUAUAGCUUUUGUCACACUUGGAAAUAUUUCUACAUAAUAUCUUUAAAGAAUUUUGUGUCCUUCCCUCUACUUCUUUUCAACAACUCUAAUAAUCUGUAUAUUGGACUGCUUGAAGUAACUCUCAGCUCCCUGAUAUUCUGCAGUUUUGUCAGUCCUUUUUUAUGUGUGCUUUUAUUUUUGAUACUUUGUAUGAUUAUAUAUUUUUAUUCACCAAUAUUUUCAAACACAGCGGCUACUGUUCCUUUCAGUUUGUGAAAUCCAGUGUAUUUCUAAAAUAAAAUUUACUUUUAUGUAAGUUUUAGGUUGUAGCAAAACUGACAGGAAGGUAGAGGGAUUUCCCUUAUAACUCCUGUUCAUACACAUGCUUAGCCUUUUCCAUUAUCAACAUCUUCCACCAGAGUGGUACAUUUGUUACAAUGAAUAAGCCUACAUUGACAUAAUUAUCAUUCAAAGACCAAAGUAAAUAGUGUUGUCCAUUCUAUGAGUUUACACAAAUAUAUAAUGACAUGUGUCUACCAUUAUAGUAUUUUACAAAACACAUACUACAGUCAGAAUUCAAUUUUGAUUUACCAAUAAUGAAACAUUUUGGGGUGAUGGGCAUGAUGGCCUUUAUCAAAUGUUAGUAGAUGUCUGAUUGCCUUAUGUGUAAUAGAAAAAAUACACAAUUACUGAAAAUUUCAUAAUCAAUGAACUUGAAUUUUUUCUGCACAUACUACUUGUUUAUAGUAUUUAUUUAGAUAGUUUAAAAUUCUGGCCUAUCAAGUAAUAUUCAAAAGAAUAUUUGAUAAAUUAUAUCUAUUAAUAUUAGCCAAACAGAAAAUAGCCAGUGAUAAUGCAGACUAAAUAAAAAUAAACAAAACAUUAGUUAUAAAUAAGCCACUUCAAUCUUUUACACUGAUAAGUAAAAGCUUAUGCACACUAAUUAAAAAGAAAAAUUACUUGAUUACAAACUGAAAGCAGGUGAUUUAAUAUUAUCAUUUAAUUUCAAUUUUUAUUUCCUGCCAAAAUAUUUGAAAUGUCAAUUGAAAAAUCUGUUGGAUGGUAAACUGGUUUCUGUAUAGAUAUUUUAUAUGAAUCAAUGUUCAUGUAGCUUGCAAUGGAUUAAUUUCUAUUUACAUUUAUUGUAAUUUUUAAAAUAUUUGUAUAACCAUAAAUUGAUUAAUAUUUUAUGCUUUUCAUUGUAUGUAAGAUCUACUUUGAAAUGAAUAUGGUUACUAAGGCACCUGAAAUUUGGUAUUUGGAUUACUACUCACAAAAUGUCCUUUAAUUUUUAAGAAAAAGUUAUGAAAUGUGGACAAUAUAGAAUCAGAGAAUGUUUAAUUAUUUACAUUUAUUCAAUGUUAUUAUUUUUGAGUUGUAACAUUUAUGUAAUUAGGCAAUUUAUGAAUAGUUUAAUGCAAGAACAUUUUUACUCAAAAAGCUUUAACACUGCUUUGAGUUAUGCAGGACUCCUCUAAGCUAUUACUGCCAUUUACAGAUUUAAUAUUUAGCUUGUAAUAGUUUACUUAUUUAUUACAAUCUUAUUUUCCUUUCUUAAAAAGUGAUUAGUACACUAAAACUAAAGCCACUGAUUAAAUGGGGAACUCUUCAGCUGCAUUUGGUUGAAAUCAUUGCCACAGUAAAUAAUGACAAUAAACAGAAACAAGAUAGAAUUAUAUCAAACUAUGCUUUUGAACAGAGAAUGAAGUCUGCAAAUAUUUUCGUAAACCAAUCUCUAUAGAUCAUUUAAACUAGAAACUUUAGUUCUGGAAAUCAAGAAAGUAGCAACAAUGAGUAGAAGUAAAUUUUAAAUGAACAAAUAGAAUGCUGUUUUGUUUUGUUUUUGUCGGGAAACAUCUUUUUUAUUUCAUUCUCAAUGGGUCUCCCUCAUAACCUGAAUUAUAGUUUUGAGUUAGGAGAGAUGAUGCUUGUCUUUAACUAACCUUGAUUGUUUCUACUUAUGACAGAUUGGAAAUAUUUGGAAGUAGAUUAAAAUUUGAAACGGUGUCUUUAACCUUAAUUUUGCUGAGUUAAUUAUGAGAAAUAUUUUCCAUCAGAGGCUAAAAGAUAAAGAAAAUAAUUCUAUACUCAUAUUUUUAUUAAGCAUAUAAAAAGUAAUAUAAAGUGCAUUACAUAAAGUAAUAUAUAUUUAUAAAGAGUACAUAUUUUUAUAAAGAGUUAUGAAAUAAAUAUUGUAUUGCCAUGAAGCAAUUAAGUGUUAUGAAAAGCUUUUAAAUUACUUCUGGAUUUUCUUUCAAUUUUAUGUCUUAAAAUGCAUACUUAUUAAAAAAUACAUAUUUUGAGUUGGUUUUUGUGCAUGAUGUGGAAGAAAAGUUUAAUAUCAUUACACAAGGUAUUGCAUCAAACUGAAAAGCUUCUGCACAGCAAAAGAAAUAAGAGUGAAGAGACAACCAACUGAUUGGGAGAAAAUAUUUGUAAUUUAUACAUCUGAUAAAGGGGCUAAUAUCCGAAAUAUAUAAGAAACUCAACUCAAUAUCAAGAAAACAUGAACCCGAUUAAAAAAUAAGCUAAGGACAUAGCUAGACAUUCUCAAAAGAAAAACAAAUGGACAAUAGAUACACUAUAUUAAAAAAUGCUCAUAACCACUGUAUUCGUCUAUUCUCACACUGCUAAUAAAGACAUACCGAGCCUGGAUAAUUUAUAAAGAAAAUGAGGUUUAAUGGACUCACAGUUCCACAUGGCUGGGGAGGCCUCAUGAUCAUGGCAUGAUGUGAAGGAGGAGCAAAGGCACGUAUUAUAUGGUGGCAGGCAAGAGAAUGUGUGCAGGGGAACUGUGCUUUAUAAAACCAUUGGAUCUCAUGAGACUCACUGUCACAAGAAUAGCAUGGGAAAUUCCACCCCUAUGGUGCAAUUACCUCCCACCAGGUCCCUCCCAUGACAGGUGGGGAUGAUGGGAACUACAGUUCAAGAUGAGAUUUGGGUGGGAACACAGCCAAACCAUAUCAAUCACUAAUCAUAAGAGAAAUGUAAAUUAAAACCACAGCGAAGUAUCACCUCACACCCCUUAGAAUGGCUAUUUCCAGAAAGAUGAAAUGUAGCAAUUGCUAGCAAGGGUGUGGAGAAAAAGGAGUUUAUGUAUCAAUAUAAAUUGAUACGGCCAUUAUGAAAAACAGUACGAAGUUU